GCAUCUGUAGCCUAGUUGGUAAGGGCAGCACUCUAGCAUGUGUCUCUGCAUAGCUGAGGUUGUGAGUUCAACUCUCACCAGACACA
rnacentral:tRNA from 1 species